UUGGCGGGGUAAUGGCCCACCAAGGCUUCGAUCAGUAGCCGUCCUGAGAGGGAGCACGGCCACACUGGAACUGAGAAAAACUCCACACUCCUACGGGAGGCAGCAGUGGGGAAUUUUUGGCAAUGGGCGAAAGCCUGACCAAGCAACGCCGCGUGGGUGAUGAAGUAUCUUGGUACGUAAAA
rnacentral:rRNA from 1 species